UUGGAGGAUUUUACAAGUCUAGAUUUCAAGUCAGAUCUUUUUUUCUUUUUUGUUGUUGAUAGAUAUCUAUUUUCUCCUACAUCAUCCAGCAUGUCAAUCUUAUUCAUGAGCUUUUUCAUUAUAUGAGUGAUGUUUCUAAUAUUAGUUUUGCUCCAAUGUCUCAACUUCGAAUGCAAGAACCUCAGCUUGAUGACAAUGUUUUUAACAUCAUCUUCUGAGUGUGGAGCUUUACUCCACCAAAAUUUAAUUAGAUUGUCAAAGCCU
rnacentral:lncRNA from 1 species